rnacentral:rRNA from 1 species
AACGUAGGAGACAAACGUUAUCCGGAGUUACUGGGCGUAAAGGGCGUGUAGGUGGUUUCGUAAGUCUGGCGUGAAAUUUUUCGGCUUAACCGGGAAAGGUCGUCGGAUACUGCGGAACUAGAGGACGGUAGAGGCGUGUGGAAUUCCGGGUGUAGUGGUGAAAUGCGCAGAUAUCGGGAGGAACACCGGUGGCGAAGGCGGUUCUCUGGGCCUGUACUGACGCUGAGGAGCGAAAGCGUGGGGAGCGAACAGG